rnacentral:tRNA from 1 species
GCCUGGGUGGCUCAGUUGGUUGGGCAUCUGACUUUGGCUCAGGUCAUGAUCUCAGGGCGCGUGAGUUCGAGCCCCAUGUCAGGCU